GACGUAGGGCGCAAGCGUUUGUCCGGAUUUAUUGGGCGUAAAGAGCUCGUAGGCGGUUUGUCGCGUCUGCUGUGAAAACCCGAGGCUCAACUCCGGAUCUGCGGUGGGUACGGGCAGACUAGAGUGAUGUAGGGGAGACUGGAAUUCCUGGUGUAGCGGUGAAAUGCGCAGAUAUCAGGAGGAACACCGAUGGCGAAGGCAGGUCUCUGGGCAUUAACUGACGCUGAGGAGCGGAAAGCAUGGGGAGCGAACAGG
rnacentral:rRNA from 1 species